rnacentral:rRNA from 1 species
AGCAGUAGGGAAUUUUCGUCAAUGGGCGCAAGCCUGAACGAGCGAUGCCGCGGUGAGUGAAGAAGGCCUUCGGGUCGUAAAGCUCUGUUGCGGGGGAAAAAAGGCAGCAUCAGGAAAUGGGUGCUGACUGAUGGUGCCCCGCCAGAAAGUCACGGCUAACUACGUGCC